ACUGUACGGGAGGCAGCAGUGAGGAAUAUUGGUCAAUGGUCGAGAGACUGAACCAGCCAAGUCGCGUGAAGGAAGACGGCUCUAUGAGUUGUAAACUUCUUUUGUACAGGAGUAAAGUGAGACACGUGUGUUUUAUUGCAAGUACUGUACGAAUAAGCAUCGGCUAACUCCGUGCCAGCAGCCGCGGUAAUCAGU
rnacentral:rRNA from 1 species